rnacentral:lncRNA from 1 species
GCAGUUUCACAUAAUUAAGUUCUUUUUAUUUUUCCUUCUUUCUUUGGUGUGAGGCAUUUAAUUUUCAUCAUGUCAGAUUCUUGGAGGCAAAAGUGCUUAUUUCUGAGCUUAUUAGCUUUGAUUUUAAUUUCAGAAGCAUCAAGAUUGCCAAAUGCAUACAGUUUCGAGCAAAUGCUGCCUAAGAAGCUUCCAAUACCUUCUUCGGCGCCAUCGAAAGGAACUAAUUCUGUAACCGCUUCUUCGAAAUCUGUUGAGAUCGAUCGGAAUUUGCCUUCGUCCGACGGAAAAGUUUAAGCGGAUCGUCGAAAGUAGCUUAUUAGCUUAACUUCUCUAACUUAGCAAUGCACAAAGAUUCUUUUUUUUUCUCUUCUUUAUAUAUAUUUUGUAGUAUUCUCUUUUUUAUUUUGUAUUUUUUAUUUACUUUAAAUCUUCAAUUGUACAGAAUUUGGC